CUCUGGACAGGAAACACUCAAAAGUAGUUUCAUUUGUCCUUAGAACUAUUCUCAAUGCCAUUGAGGAGCUUAACAAGGAGCAGAAAUGGUUGCUUCUCUACCACUUUGCUCUUGGCAAGAAGGAUCUCAUUUCAGCUGAUCCAAAAUGAGUCUAAGGCUGCAGUAUCUGGGAGAGACCAUGCAAAUUAAGUUAUUUCUAUCAAAGAAUCAUCGUGACUUAAACAUUGGAAUCAUCCAGUCAACCACAGAUAGUUGCCCAGAGGAUCAGAUGGAAAAGAAAACAGCUGUGUGUUCACCAUCUGCUUCCCAUAUUGCCCGAGACAAGAUCCAGAAAAGCCAAGUUCUCAGCGCAGUUAACCUUCAAAUGCUUCCUGCUCUGUUGAAACUGACCGUACUACAAUAAACAUACCACAUGUUCAAUGGUCAGACUCUCUACUGCCUGGUACCGUUGGAACAAUAUGAUGCCAAAAUAUCUAGAGAACCCUAACCAGCUAAGGUGGCCCAGUAGACACAAGUGUUUUCACUAAAACUUAAGUACAGUGGGGUCUUCCUUCCUCUAAAAGGACAUUCAGGCUUGUCUACUGGCCACGCAGUAUGAAUUUCAAUAGCUUGCCAGGGGGGUUAACCAGAUUGUGGUUUAAAUUUGGGGUAUAUUACUUAAAAUCAACGUGUGUUAAUAAAGACCUGA
rnacentral:lncRNA from 1 species